AUUAAUAUGGCAGAUUAGUGCUUUGAAUUUAAAAUUCAAUAAUAAAGAUAUCUAUUUUUCUUUUAUUAAUA
rnacentral:tRNA from 1 species